AUUGAGAGUUUGAUCCUGGCUCAGGAUGAACGCUGGCGGCGUGGAUAAGGCAUGCAAGUCGAACGAGCCUGUUGAAGGCGAGUGGCAAACGGGUUAGUAACGCGUAGGCAACUUACCUUGAAGUCUUGAAUAAUUCAUCGAAAGGUGAACUAAUACAAGAUGGAAAUGAGGGGACGAAAGUCAUUCUCAUUUAAAGGGUGCAGCAAUGCACUUGCUUCUAGAGAGGCCUGCGUCCUAUCAGCUAGUUGGUGAGGUAAUGGCCCACCAAGGCUAUGACGGGUAGGGGGACUGAGAGGUUGGCCCCCAACAUCGGGACUGAGACACUGCCCGGACUCCUACGGGAGGCUGCAGUCAAGAACCUUCCUCAAUGGGCGAAAGCCUGAAGGAGCGACGCCGCGUGAUCGAAGAAGUCCUUCGGGAUGUAAAGAUCUUUUAUCGCCGAACAAUUUUGAGCGUAGGCGAUGAAUAAGGGGCUCCUAAACUCGUGCCAGCAGGAGCGGUAAUACGAGUGCCCCAAGCGUUAUCCGGAAUUACUGGGCGUAAAGCGUUUGUAGGGGGUUUUGAUAGUCCUGUGUUAAAUUCUAAGGCUUAACUUUAGAACCGCGCGGGAAACGUCAAGACUAGAGGAUAUGAGAGGCUGAUGGAACUCACGGUGUAGGGGUGAAAUCCGUUGAUAUCGUGGGGAACACCAAAGGCGAAGGCAUUCAGCUGGCGUAUUCCUGACCCUGAGAAACGAAAGCGUGGGGAGCAAAAAGGAUUAGAUACCCUUGUAGUCCACGCCCUAAACUAUGAUGACUAGCUGUUUGAAGUAUCGACCCUUCAAGCGGCGAAGCUAACGCGUUAAGUCAUCCGCCUGGGAAGUACGAUCGCAAGAUUAAAACUCAAAGGAAUAGACGGGAACUCGCACAAGCGGUGGAGCAUGUGGUUCAAUUCGACAAUAAGCGGGGAACCUUACCAGGGUUAGAAACUCUAACGAAUGCCGGCAGAAACGUCGGCAGUCCUCACGGACGUUAGAGUCAGGUGCUGCACGGUUGUCGUCAGCUCGUGGCGUGAGCUGUUCUCUUAAGUGAGUAAACGAGCGCAACCCCCAUGCUGCGUUAUAAGUGUCGCAGCAAACUGCCUCGGACAACGGGGAGGAAGGUGGGGAUGACGUCAAAUCAGCGUGGUCCUUUGACACCCUGGGCUACACACGUGCUACAAUGGCCGAUACAAUGGGCUGCGAAGCCGUAAGGCGGAGCUAAUCCCAUCAAAGUCGGCCCCAGUUCGGAUUGAGGGCUGCAACCCGCCCUCAUGAAGCCGGAAUCGCUAGUAAUCGCGGAUCAGCCAUGCCGCGGUGAAUACGUUCUCGAGUUUUGUACUCACCGCCCGUCACUUCAAGGGAGCCGGUAAUACCGGAAGCGGCUCAUUAGAGCCGACAAGGUAGGAUCGGUGACAGGGAAGAAGUCGUAACAAGGCAUCCGUAGCGGAAGCUGUGGAUGGAUCACCUCCUU
rnacentral:rRNA from 1 species